rnacentral:rRNA from 1 species
GACGAACGCUGGGGGCGUGCCUAAUACAUGCAAGUAGGACGCAGUUGCGAACGGGGGAGUAAUACGUGGGUAACCUGCCCUCCUUUUUGGGAUAAGCCUUGGAAACGGGGUCUAAUACCGAAUAAAGGGGGAUGGGCUCGCGGCCUAUCGGGUGGUGGGUGGGGCGAUGGCCUACCAAGGCGGUGACGGGUAGCCGGCCUGAGAGGGUGAAGAGCCUCAUUGGGACUGAUAUCCGGCCCAGACUCCUACGGGAGGCAGCCGUGCGGGAUAUUGCACAAUGGGCGAAAGACUGCUGCAGCGACGCCGCGUGGAGGAUGAAGUCUUGCGGGUUGUAAACCUCUUUCGCUAUCGACGGGGUAGGUGGAGCUGAAGCGCCGGCUAACUACGUGCCAGCCGCCGCGCUAAUAC